AAAGAACCGAACUCAUCCAUCCAAACAAAUACCUCCAGAGAAAUUCUUCCGACUAACUAAAGAUAUGGAAAACCAAAAGAAGAAUGAGUCAUUUCGUAUCACUACUAUAAGAGUGUGUUUUAUUGGAUUUAGGAUGAAUUCUGCUACAAAUGUGUUAUCAAUGCAAUUAUAGUGGCUUUAGGCAUUUGGAAAACUUUUAUAAAUUAUUGACAAGUGGUGUUGGAGGAUAUAUGCCGGCAUUGUUACUAGAAUGGUUUUGUAGAAAGCCAUCUG